rnacentral:misc_RNA from 1 species
UUGACGGUCCUUGAAAAUCC